rnacentral:misc_RNA from 1 species
AAUCAUUCUCAAUAUUUUUCUUCUAUUCUAUUUUCUCACAAUUUGGAUGAAGAUCCUUUUGGCAUGCAAAGAAAAGCUGAUGUUGGAGCAUAAAAAAUUUUGAAGCCAUUGAUAAAAGGGCAAUUAUCUUGAGGAUUUAAAGUGGGGAGAAUAUAGAAUGAUCUAGAUGUAUGCUGUAUGCUUAUUAAUAUUGUUUCCAAUUUGGACCUAGGUAAUUGUGAUGCUUGACUUGAUGCAUU